rnacentral:rRNA from 1 species
AUUAAAAAAAAUGCUACCCUGAACGUGCCUGAUCUCGUCUGAUCUUAGAAACUAAGCAGAGUCGGGCCUGGUUAGUACUUGGAUGGGAGACCACCUAGGAAGACCAGAUGCUGUAGACU